UACGAAGGGGGCUAGCGUUGUUCGGAAUUACUGGGCGUAAAGCGCGCGCAGGCGGUCCUUCAAGUCAGAGGUGAAAGCCCAGAGCUCAACUCUGGAAUGGCCUUUGAGACUAGAGGACUUGGGUACGGGAGAGGUGAGUGGAAUUCCGGGUGUAGAGGUGAAAUUCGUAGAUAUUCGGAAGAACACCAGUGGCGAAGGCGGCUCACUGGCCCGUUACCGACGCUCAGGCGCGACAGCGUGGGGAGCAAACAGG
rnacentral:rRNA from 1 species